rnacentral:rRNA from 1 species
UACGUAGGGUGCAAGCGUUGUCCGGAAUUAUUGGGCGUAAAGGGCUCGUAGGCGGUUUGUCGCGUCGGGAGUGAAAUCCACUGGCUUAACUGGUGGCUUGCUUUCGAUACGGGCAGACUGGAGGUAUGCAGGGGAGAACGGAAUUCCUGGUGUAGCGGUGAAAUGCGCAGAUAUCAGGAGGAACACCAGUGGCGAAGGCGGGUCUCUGGACAGUUCCUGACACUGAGACACGAAGGCCAGGGGAGCAAACGGG